ACCCCUCCGCAUGCAUGUGCACCGACUGUUGCUAUCGUGUCUCUAUUCUGAAGAAAGGGGGAGUGGGAGCAAGAGGGAUCAAAGAGUGAGAGAGAGAGAGCGCGAACAGGUCUUCGAUCUUCAAUCGUCUUUGAUUUUCAUCCAUCACUGCUUAACCCAAUUGAUCCCUUUCUCAUUUCAAUUAACUACAUGGGAAAACUGAUUAAGGUUACGGCAUUUGCAGAGAAGAGUUUUCAGGCCUGCGAUCACUGUUGAGGUCCAAAAGACAAGUCUCCUGUUUUGCAUAUUGUUAUUGUUGGUCUUUCAAGUGAUUUAUCUCUCAGAUCAGUUGUGUUCUAGGGUUGGAGCUUGAAGGCUAUUCAAAAAGUUUGAAAGACGUUUGGAGAGUUGAGGAUUCUGCUGCGAGGACUUUUGCCGGCAUAAAUUCUAUUACUGUUAUGAGGUAGGAUGUACAUAACGUAAUGAAUGAGUUCUAAAGAAAAUAAAGUUGAAUUGAGCUUAUGUGAAUACAAAUGUCAUUGCAUCCUAGCUGAAAAGAAAAGCUGCUCAAAUUGCUGAAAAGGAAGUUCAUAAUACGAAGUUGCAACACAAAACUCCUAGAAUUGCUCGAUUGUAAAAAUUGCUCCACUGUUUGGUGUUUUAUUUUUUUGUAAUGAAUAAAAAAUUAGAGGUACAAAGAAAAGAGAGGACAAAAGUUUGUAAUGAAUAGUUUCACAGUUUUGAUAGUUUUAAUAUUGGAUCAAAUCAAUGAAUAAUAUUCAUUGCUCCCGCGGCAACGCGCGGG